rnacentral:rRNA from 1 species
CCCGCGGCGCAUUAGCUAGUUGGUGAGGUAACGGCUCACCAAGGCCACGAUGCGUAGCCGACCUGAGAGGGUGAUCGGCCACAUUGGAACUGAGAUACGGUCCAGACUCCUACGGGAGGCAGCAGUGGGGAAUAUUGCACAAUGGGCGAAAGCCUGAUGCAGCAACGCCGCGUGAGUGAUGAAGGCCUUCGGGUUGUAAAGCUCUGUCUUUGGGGACGAUAAUGACGGUACCCAAGGAGGAAGCCACGGCUAACUACGUGCCAGCAGCCGCGGUAAUACGUAGGUGGCAAGCGUUGUCCGGAUUUACUGGGCGUAAAGGAUGCGUAGGUGGAUAUGCAAGUCAGAUGUGAAAUACCCGGGCUCAACUCGGGUGCUGCAUUUGAAACUAUAUAUCUAGAGUACAGGAGAGGUAAGUGGAAUUCCUAGUGUAGCGGUGAAAUGCGUAGAGAUUAGGAAGAACACCAGUGGCGAAGGCGACUUACUGGACUGUA